rnacentral:lncRNA from 1 species
UGGCGGGUGGGGCUUUUGACGGGGCGUCCAUGAACCCGGCCGUUUCUUUCGGGCCGGCGUUGGUGAGCUGGAGCUGGGAGAACCACUGGGUCUACUGGGCCGGGCCUUUGAUCGGCGCCGGGAUCGCCGGGGUCAUCUACGAGUUCGUGUUCAUCGGCAACAGCGGCCACGAGCAACUGCCCUCCACUGACUACUAAUUGAUUAAGCCUUAAGUAAGUAAGCUUAAUUAAGGAGUCAUAAGAUUUAAUUACAUUUGCAUGCAUGCUGGGUUUUGGACCUUUGAGUUCUUGUGUUUCGUUUCAUCAAGAAAAUCAUGAUCAUGAUCGUUGUCGUCAUGAGUUGAUCUCCAUCGUUGAUUUGUAAUUUGUUUUGCAUGCUCUCCGCUGUUGUGUCACUAAAUUCCAUUUAUCUUUUGUAUUUACUGUAUUUUAAAUUGUUCUUAAUUUUAUCGACUGCUAGUUUGGACCCUACGAGAAUGAUCGGAGAAAAGCAAAUACUAAGGUGGGGUUUAGUUAAAAAGUUAAAUCUGGAACCUCACUUAAUUUUUCGGUAGGUUUAACCUACCCUUUACGGUAAAAACCACCCUGCAUGCAACUGAUUUGACCCUUGCCACCGACAAUAUAAUAUUUUCUUGGAUUCGUUCAUAAUCAUAUGAUUAAUAUUACACUAAUCAUAUUUUUAAACUACGCUGGUGAAUCAAAUUAUAGAAAACUUAGAGCGUACUUGCCAGGUAAUUAAAUUCUUAUUAUCAUUAUGACAGAUCAUAAAUAAUACAUCAUCAUUACUUGAUAAUUUAAAAUAAUUCGUAAUAAAAUCAAUUGUCUCAAAGUAUAUAACUAACGAGAAUUAACGUAUGCAUGCAUAUGUGAGGCUGAAUUUCAAGUGA